rnacentral:rRNA from 1 species
GAUGAACGCUAGCGGCAGGCUUAACACAUGCAAGUCGAGGGGCAACACGGGUAGCAAUACCUGGUGGCGACCGGCGCAAGGGUGCGUAACGCGUGAGCAACAUGCCCUAUACAGGGGGAUAAUCCAGGGAAACUUGGUCUAAUAUCCCAUAGUAUUUAGAGGUGGCAUCACCACUAAAUUAAAGCUUCGGUGGUAUAGGAUUGGCUCGCGUGACAUUAGCUGGAUGGUGGGGUAACGGCUCACCAUGGCGAUGAUGUCUAGGGGUUCUGAGAGGAAGACCCCCCCACACUGGGACUGAGACACGGCCCAGACUCCUACGGGAGGCAGCAGUGAGGAAUAUUGGACAAUGGAUGGAAAUCUGAUCCAGCCAUGCCGCGUGCAGGAAGACGGCCCUAUGGGUUGUAAACUGCUUUUAUAUGGGAGCAAUAAGGUUUACGCGUAGACCGAUGAGAGUACCAUAUGAAUAAGCAUCGGCUAACUCCGU